rnacentral:rRNA from 1 species
CCCUUAGAUGUUCUGGGCUGCACGCGCGCUACACUGAUGCAUCCAACAAGUUUUUUCCUUGUUCGAGAGGACUAGGUAAUCUUAUGAGAAUGCAUCGUGAUGGGGAUAGAUUAUUGCAAUUAUUAAUCUUCAUCGAGGAAUUCCUAGUAAGCGCGAGUCAUCAGCUCGUGCUGAUUACGUCCCUGCCCUUUGUACACACCGCCCGUCGCUGCAACUGAUUGGGUGACCUGGUGAACAUCUUGGACCGGCCCACUCAAUUUCGAGAGGACUGGAAAAGGCCGUAAAUCAGGUACAUCUAGAAAUUGCAAAAGUCGUAACA